UACAGAGGUCUCAAGCGUUGUUCGGAUUCAUUGGGCGUAAGGGUGCGUAGGCGGCGCGGUAAGUCGGGUGUGAAAUCUCGGAGCUUAACUCCGAAACUGCAUUCGAUACUGCCGUGCUUGAGGACUGGAGAGGAGACUGGAAUUUACGGUGUAGCGGUGAAAUGCGUAGAUAUCGUAAGGAAGACCAGUGGCGAAGGCGGGUCUCUGGACAGUUCCUGACGCUGAGGCACGAAGGUCAGGGGAGCAAACGGGAUUAGAGUACCCUAG
rnacentral:rRNA from 1 species